rnacentral:rRNA from 1 species
GUGCCAGCAGCCGCGGUAAUACGUAGGGGGCAAGCGUUGUCCGGAUUUAUUGGGCGUAAAGAGCGUGUAGGCGGCUGGGUAGGUCCGUUGUGAAAACUCGAGGCUCAACCUCGAGACGCCGAUGGAAACCCCCCAGCUAGAGUCCGGAAGAGGAGAGUGGAAUUCCUGGUGUAGCGGUGAAAUGCGCAGAUAUCAGGAAGAACACCCGUGGCUAAGGCGGCUCUCUAGUACGGUACUGACGCUGAGACGCGAAAGCGUGGGGAGCGAACAGGAUUAGAUACCCGGGUAGUCC